rnacentral:rRNA from 1 species
GNGACGCUGGCGGCGUGCUUACACAUGCAAGUCGAACGCUGAAGCACUGUGCUUGCACGGUGUGGAUGAGUGGCGAACGGGUGAGUAACACGUGAGUAACCUGCCCCUGACUUCGGGAUAAGCCUGGGAAACUGGGUCUAAUACCGGAUAUGACUACUGGCCGCAUGGUCUGGUGGUGGAAAGGGUUUUACUGGUUGGGGAUGGACUCGCGGCCUAUCAGUUUGUUGGUGGGGUAGUGGCCUACCAAGACGACGACGGGUAGCCGGCCUGAGAGGGCGACCGGCCACACUGGGACUGAGACACGGCCCAGACUCCUACGGGAGGCAGCAGUGGGGAAUAUUGCACAAUGGGGGGAACCCUGAUGCAGCGACGCCGCGUGCGGGAUGACGGCCUUCGGGUUGUAAACCGCUUUCAGUAGGGAAGAAGCGAAAGUGACGGUACCUGCAGAAGAAGUACCGGCUAACUACGUGCCAGCAGCCGCGGUAAUACGUAGGGUACAAGCGUUGUCCGGAAUUAUUGGGCGUAAAGAGCUCGUAGGUGGUUGGUCACGUCUGCUGUGGAAACGCAACGCUUAACGUUGCGCGUGCAGUGGGUACGGGCUGACUAGAGUGCAGUAGGGGAGUCUGGAAUUCCUGGUGUAGCGGUGAAAUGCGCAGAUAUCAGGAGGAACACCGGUGGCGAAGGCGGGACUCUGGGCUGUANCUGACGCUGANGAGCGAAAGCAUGGGGAGCGAACAGGAUUANAUACCCUGGUAGUCCAUGCCGUAAACGUUGGGAACUAGGUGUGGGGUCCAUUCC